GUCUCGCCACCUGGCCCCGGUUUCUAGGUGUCGCGGAGCUAAUGACAGGCUACUACAGCCCCGCGGAGCAGGAGCCGGAUGCUGACCUUGGGAAGAGCCUGCGGGAGGGUUUUAGGUGAGUGCGUAGGGGGCUUUAGGAAGGAAAUGGGCCAUGGCGGGUAGUUGGGGGCGCGACGUAAGGGUUUGAGCUUGGCAACAGUCGGACACGAGAGAUUAUGCGUAUGGAUCGAAAGGUUCCGCCUAGUCCUCUUCUGGGUGAUGGCCGAAAUGCUGUCCUUAAAGGGAAGAGUGCACAAGGCGAAAGGAACAUCUGACGCGGACCGAAAUGGAGCAUUAAGGGAUUCUAGGGGAACACGUGUGUGCUAUACCUUAAGAGCUGCGCUCCGUGUGCAGCCGCCGCCCGUUAGUGAAUACAGGGACCACCAGCGGGCCGUCCACCAAUGCCAGAAAUGAGCGUUUUCCCCUUGUACUUACCUUUCUCCCGCUUUGGUGCUUCGUAAUUCGUCGCCAUCUUCGCAUUUACUCAUUUGGUAACCUUCCCGGCUUUCCUUGGAUUUGCCCUUCCUUACGCAUCCCCUUGUUCCCGUUCCCCUACCCGGUACACCGCCUCAGGAACCAGAGCAAGACCGGUGAUGAAGCCCGCAGCUUCGGCAUUCCCACCAUCCGCACUGACCUGCGACUGCCCCGGCUGCGAUCCGUAGCGGACCCACAAAAUUACGGCAAUGAGUCGGAUGCGGGGCAGGUGCUGCGGCCCCCGCUCGCCGCCGACCUGGGCAUCUCGGAUGAGCAGUUCGUGGGCCUAAGGUAAGGCAAGAGUUGCGCGGCAGGGCCGUAGUUGUGCUUGGAAGGAGGGAAGCAAAAGGCCAAUAUCUGGAGGAGGCUGGAAGACUGCCAGAAGGCGAGACUGGGGAACGUUCGAGGGAAGUCUGGCAUGGGAGUGCGGAAGGAGGGAGUCAAGCUGCAAUGUCCCCGCGCCCGUAACCCCGGGUGCCUCCUUGCAACCGCACAUGCAACCGCACAGGCCCAAGGAGGACAUACGGCAGUUGGUCCGGGAGGCGGGUCUCACGUUGACGGACGACGAAUUUGAUGCUGCCUGGGCACUCGCUGCCGAUGCGGACAGCGCGGGCGCCGCGGCCGCCACCGGUAUAACAGACACGACGGCGCAGCCCCGAGCUUGCAUCGACACAUUUUUCCGGGCACGACACCAUUUGCUCGCUCAGACGCUGCGAAUCCCGCCGCCCUUCUAGAAAGCUGCCGAACAACUGGAGACCCCAGCCGCGCAUGAAGGCGCGCGUGGCAGUCGGACAGGCAGGAGGGUGUAUAUUGCCAGCAUAUGCCAGCACGAAAAGAACAUUGCUGUCGCUGCUGUCCUGCUACUAAUGGCGCUGGCAUAACUCAUGAAGAACUUUGUCCUGCCGCGGACGGGUCUUAACACUGCAAUGCAGCUUGCCAGCAGCAGCAGCAAAGAGUUGCUACGGUGGCUGCAGGAUGCGCCUGGCCCUGAGCAGUAGCUCAAGCCCUCGCGAGGUGCAUGCGUUGCAAGAGGUGUUCGGGGUCUACGACCAGGACGACUGAGCGCCAUGGGUGUUGGGGUAAGGAUUAUGCCUGCCAGCAUGGAAGGCGAGGUGGCCUAGUUGCUCUUUUUACACCUCUCAUCCUUACACCUCUCCAUCAUGACAAUUACAUGGGAGGCAGAGGCCGAGGCGGAAUCCUAGAAGGCGUGAACAGAAUGGGCCAGGAUUUUCAGGGAGCGAUCCCAAUGGCGGAAGAUGUGUAUGGUUGGGAGGUUGGGCUGAUUUGUACUCAUUAUGAGUUUGAUUGUGGGAUGCCCCGAGGUUAGUGCGCGCCUUCUGGCUGUUGGGCAAGCGUAACUUACACGGUGCCUAUUUACACUAUCCUACGUGAAUGUACAUGCGUCGAUUUGGGUACCGUACAGUGGAAAUGACACGGAUGUCUAGAGGAACUCCCUUAUUCCUAUACCGUCAGGACGACCGCUGACUGGCGGCGUGUAACUACGCGGGUUGCACGCGACAAAUACAGGCGCCUGUCGCCUGUGAGAUCUGCGUACGAGUUGCGCUGCUGGGUAAAGCAUAGGGCAGGCUACCGUGCCAUGGACGUCGGGGCCCCAGCGAAGGCGCUGGGUGGUCAGAAGGAGUCAAGGGAACGAGCCUUUAGAUAGCUUCCGCCCUUCUGACAUUGUUCAUGGGAAAGAGGGAGGUCGUUUAGCUAGUACUGCAGUUAACGCGUGAUGUGGUGGUGGUGCCGGCCAUGUAGCUGACAGGGUGACGGGCUCUGUAGCGGCUUUCCAUGGCGUGGGCCUGAACUGGUGUGCAUGCGCUGCGCGCUGCAAUGGGAGCCAUCGAUGGGUCCUUAUGACUGAGCGAAAUAGUGACGUGAAUUAAAAAGCCAAGGGCAUGCAGUUAAAUGAUUACUAGACGUAUACGCAGGUGCGGAGGAAAAUCACAUGUCUAGAUAUAUGUGUAUAAAUGGUGGCGGACAGGUGCGCUGCACCCAGAUUUGCAGUAACCCAGGUGUCCAUGUCGCAUAGGAAGCUGUCUGGUUCAAAACCCUCGCACACCUUCGGUUUGUAAAUGUCGCUUUGUUUGCCGCGCGCCCUAACUGCCUUACAACAAAGCCACGACUGUGUGUUCUUCGGCAACCCUUCGUUGGUUCGUUAACGUAUGAAGACCUGGAUAGACGAAAGCAUGUGUAAGGCAUACUGCACGGUAUAAUUCGGGAGGCACAAAACUUAACCCGCUCCCAAAGCUCGCCGCGUUCGAGGAGGGAGAGUAGGCCCGUUGCCCUCGUCGUGGCUGAGGAAGGUUCAUUCCAGAGCUAUGUUGUAUUAUCUUGCCUAAGAUUGGCUUGCUAGUUCACACCGCGGUAUUUUUUACGCGAACGUGUGCUAAGAAAGGACAGCUGGUUUGUUAUGGGCGUGCACGAAUGGGUAUGCUUGGUACACUCUGCGACGCCCUGUAGCCAAGACUUAGCCCAAGUUCUGAACGGUAUAUCGCAGCUUUUACAAGGAAAACGGAUCGACUUGUCGGCAUGCUCCCAGAAACCCAACUGUCAUUGAAGCCGUUGUCCUGCCUCUCAAGCUCAAGCCUAUACCCAAGGCACGGUUUUUAACAUAUUACAUACUAUGAAUCAACUUUAU
rnacentral:lncRNA from 1 species